CCUACGGGAGGCAGCAGUGGGGAAUAUUGCACAAUGGGGGAAACCCUGAUGCAGCGACGCCGCGUGAGUGAAGAAGUAUCUCGGUACGUAAAGCUCUAUCAGCAGGGAAGAAAAUGACGGUACCUGACUAAGAAGCCCUGGCCAAUUACGUGCCAGCAGCCGCGGUAAUACGUAGGGGGCAAGCGUUAGCCGGAGUUACUGGGUGUAAAGGGAGUGUAGACGGCAGCACAAGUCUGGAGUGAAAGCCCGGGGCUUAACCCCAGAACUGCUAUGGAAACUGUGCGGCUGGAGUGCAGGAGAGGUAUGCGGAAUUCCUAGUGUAGCGGUGAAAUGCGUAGAUAUUAGGAGGAACACCGUUGGCGAAGGCGGCUAACUGGACUGUAACUGACGUUGAGGCUCGAAAGCGUGGGGAGCAAACAGGAUUAGAUACCCUUGUAGUC
rnacentral:rRNA from 1 species